rnacentral:rRNA from 1 species
UACGUAGGGUGCGAGCGUUAAUCGGAUUUACUGGGCGUAAAGCGUGCGCAGGCGGCCCGUUAAGACAGAUGUGAAAUCCCUGGGCUCAACCUAGGAAUUGCACUUGUGACUGUCGGGCUCGAGUACGGUAGAGGGGGGUGGAAUUCCUGGUGUAGCAGUGAAAUGCGUAGAGAUCAGGAGGAACACCGAUGGCGAAGGCAGCCCCCUGGGCCUGUACUGACGCUCAUGCACGAAAGCGUGGGGAGCAAACAGG